GCCUAAUGAGGGGGUUGUAGACCGCUCAGCACUUCAAGAUGGUAAGGACCAUUUUGGGCUUGAACAAGGAUCUGAGAGGAGCUCAUUGUUGGGUGAGUUGUCAAUAGAGGGUGCUGGGGACCCUUAUCCUACCCAUCAUUGAUUCCCAACGAAAGUGCUCUUUUGGAUUGUGCGGGGGGUGGGAAAGCUGUCCUUCCAUUCAAUCUUUAGAAGACUCUUACAGUAGCAUGAUCCAGAGAUUUAUGCUCUAAUGGAGACACAUCUUUGUGGUCUGAGCUUGGCCUAGGUUCAGCAUUGCUUCCCAGUGGAGUGGGGUUUCCUUGUAGUGGAGUCCCAAGGCCUCUCUGAGGGCAUUAUUAUUCUUUCAAAAAGCGGUAUG
rnacentral:lncRNA from 1 species